rnacentral:rRNA from 1 species
UACGUAGGUGGCAAGCGUUGUCCGGAUUUACUGGGCGUAAAGAGCGCGCAGGCGGUCGUGCAAGUCGCGUGUGAAAGCCCCCGGCUCAACUGGGGAGGGUCACGCGAUACUGCUCGACUCGAAGGCAGGAGAGAGAAGUGGAAUUCCCGGUGUAGUGGUGAAAUGCGUAGAUAUCGGGAGGAACACCAGUGGCGAAGGCGACUUCCUGGCCUGUUCUUGACGCUGAGGCGCGAAAGCUAGGGUAGCAAACGGG